rnacentral:lncRNA from 1 species
GUGGCAUACACGUGCAACACACGUGUUGAAAAAUUAGUAUACUACAAAUAAUCAAAUUUGAAUCGAACUCUAUCACUGUUUUUUCUUUUCUCGUGAGUAGGAAGCAUCCUAACAAUAUGAAUUAUGUGAAUUUAAUCAAACUCGAAUUGGAAUUUGUCACUAUUUUUCCUCUCAUGUGAGUUGAAAGCACACCAACAAUGUGUGUUGCGUUGUUAUACUCUGCAAAUAGAGAAAAUUCUUAAUAAAAUGAAAAAAAAAUGAACAGAAGACGAUAGCUGCAUAUUUUAUCCCUAAAUUAUAGAUAAAUCUACUUUUGAUCCUUUUUGAUAUAUGACUAUGUAUUUUCAAUAUCCAAUUAAUUAGAAUGUGUGUUUCUAAUCCCUUCAUGUAGAAAAGACUAAUAGAUAUACUUCGUGUGUUGUGUGUUUCUAAUUAUAAUGUAUAUUCCAUCUUUAGUUUUCAACAUUCACAAAUUUAUUAAUAGUUCCACCAUUUAAUUAUUAAUAGAUUUGAUAAUCUAUAUAAUUGUAUUAGCGUCAAAUAUGGAAUAACACUACAUAUUUAAUAUAACACAUGAAUAACUAAGCGGUAGAACUAUUAAUAAAUUUGUGAAUGUUCAAAAUCAAAGAUAUAAAAAGUGCACAAUUCAAUUAAUUCAUUUUAAAAUGUUUAGAUAGACAUCAAAGAGAUUAAAAUAUCUUUUGGAGAAAGAUAUAUUUUGAUCUCUCAUGUUUUAUAGACUAUGUCAGUGUAUUUUCUUUCAGCUAUGAACCCUCAGCAGGUGCAAUAAAUCAGUUGCAAAAUAUAUUUGCGAAGAUUUACUGGGGAAACAUUGUAGGAGACAAAAAUAAACACGACUCUCAUGAAAAAAGAUGUGUUUCCCUAAGGAGGAAGGUGGACUCGAUUUUAGAUCAUUGCAUGAUAUGUUGAAAGCUCUUUUUGCAAAGAUUUGGUGGAUUUUUAAAAGUUCUACUUCAUCUUUAUGGAGUGAUUUUAUAUGGAGUAAAUAUUGCAAAAAGAAACAUCCUUUACUGGCUCAGGGAUAUGGGACCUCACACGUGUGGAGAAAAAUGACUGCUAUUAGAGAAGAGGUGGAGCAUAAUAUUUGGUGGCAAUUAAAAGGAGGGAAUUCAAGGUAUUGUUAUGAUAACUAGACAAAAUAAGGUUCUUUGUAUUAUAUUGAAGGAGAAAAUACUUUGGGGGAGGAAUUGGAGGUGAUAUGUUUCGUUAAAAAUGGUGAGUGGGAUAUACCCAAGUUACAGGAAUAUAUUUCUCAAGAAAUGGUAGACUAUAUCAGGUAAUGUAUUAAACCUCCUACACAAGAUCAAAAUGAUACUCCAUGGUGGAUGGGAAACACAAAUGGGAGGUUUACUAUAAAAUCAGCAUGACACUUAUUGAGGAAAAGACGGGAGGAAAGAAGAGAGUAUUUGUUCAUGUGGACAAAAGGAUUACCUUGAAAGAUUAGUUUUUUCCUAUGGAGAGUGUGGGGGAGAAGAAUUGCUACUAAUGAUAAUCUUAAAAGGAUGAAGAUAUGCAUAGUAUCAAGAUGUUGGUGUUGUAAAGUGAUGGAGAAGGAAUGUAUGUCCCAUCUUUUUCUAAUAGCCUUUAGUUAUGGAAGCAGUUUGCUAUUUUUGCAGGUAUAAGCACGAAGAACAGGAACCUACAACAAUUGAUUAUUGCUUGGUGGAAGCAUAAGUGUUGGUACCCAAUUUUGGCUCUCCAAGCUUAAAAUUAAUGCAUUUAGACUUUUUGAUCGUUAAAUGGUACAAAAUACAAUCUUUCACACAGUUUUUACAAUUGUUAAUAAAUUAUUGAUUAUCAUCAUUAUUUUAAAAUUAUUACCAAUUUAUUGUCGUAUUUUAAUUUUACAUAAUUUAUUAAUAAUUAUCCUUAAUUUCUUAAAUUAUAGGAUUUUUAUCAUUUUAUUAUCAUUUUAAUAUUUUUGCACAAUCAUCUACAUACGUAUAUAACAUAAAACUUCAAUUCUUUUUUUUACAUAUUAUAAUUUUAAUUUUUUAUAGCGUAAUAUAUUUUUUAAAUAUACUGUAUUUGUUGUGUGCAUUUUUCUAUAAUUAUACAUCAACAUUCAUAUUUUUGUAUAUCAUUUAAGACAAUCUGCAAACGAUAGUGUUUGCUCGAUUAUCGUAAUAUACAGAGCCAUAAAUCAAUCAAUUCAAAAUCUCAUCACUUUUAAAAAGUUACUUUGAGGUGAUGGGUUGAGGUUUUCAUUCAUUAGAUAAAAAAAAUUACAUAGUGGACAAAAGGAUGAAAAAUUUAUUUAAUAACUUUUGGAUUAAAGGAUAUUUUAUAAAGAAAAGGUGGGACACUUUUUUAUUUUUUGAACAAUAAAAAGGCCAAUUUUAUUUAUAAAUAAGGGGAGGCCUUUUUUUAUACACACUUUAACACACACUUAACACAUACACGCAUAUCAUAUUUCCCCUUCUUUCUUCUUUCUCUUUCUAAAAACCAACCUCCUCCUUCAACCAUAUGCCGCCGCCACCGGAGCUGACUACUGGAUGGCCAGCAUUCACUGCCACCCCCGCACCACCCCCCUUUUGCUCCGCAUUUUUGGUGAGUCAGCCUGAGACAACACCAGUGCUGCCCCCUUUUUACCCUUUUAUGCCAGUCUUCUCUAUUGCUACUUCGCCGAAGGUGAUGACCGGCAAAGCUUCAACACGAACCACCAUCACUGCUUCUCAUCUCUCUUCUCAUCUCUCUUUUUCCAACCCACCGGUGAAAUCCGCUGCCCCCAUCACUACCGGUGAGGGUUCCGGCCAAACUCUGGCGGAAACCUUCCAUUUCUCCUCUUCUCCCAUUGUUUGAUUUUUUCCCCUCUAUUAAUUGAGUGCUUGAAGGGAGAAAGCUGAUUGGGUUUUCACUUUCAAGCAUUGCUUCGGCGAUGUCAUUGAAGCAACAUCGGAGCCUCAAUUGCUUCAACUUUUUCUCUUCAAUGAAUUGAGUUUUGUAUGUUGUGCGUUUACUUUGCGCAGAGCUAGUCGACAAGAUGUCAUCCCAGCCGACCUCUUCUUUUAUAUAUAUUCCUAUAAAUUGUAUUUAUUUGCUUGACGUAUUUGUUGUUGUUCAUAGCAUCAUUUUUGAACUUUCUAACAAAUUGUGGUUUGCUCCGGCAUUUUGGUUGUUGCUUUGCUAGUUUCGUGGAUGUUGUUGCAUCUGUUUUGGGUUGUUGCUUUGCUAGUUUUAUGACUGCUAUUACCUCUAUUUUAGGGUUGAUUACUAUUAUAUUUGGGGAUAAUUAUAUUACAUGUUGCCCCUUGUAAUUUUAUUAAAUUGAUAAUAGGCAGUUACAACAUAAUAAAUUGGCCGAUGAAGAAAUUUUUCAUCGAUUUAUUAGGCCUCCGUAAAUAAAAGAGAUGGAUAUUACAUAUGCAAAUACGUAAUAAAAAUAAUAAAAUUGGGGCGAUGACGAAAUUUUUAUAAUAUUUAAAAUUUUAUUCGAGCCCACUUUUAACAAAAAUUAUAUUUUUAAAUAUAUAUAUGCACACAUACCUUUUCAAUUUAUUUAAUUAUUUAUUUGUUACUAACAUUUUUAUUACAAGUGUUUGUGCAGGUUCUUGAAAAUACAUGUUGAAAAUGAAAUUCAAGAAAUGAGAGAAUUUUGUAUUUAUAUUUUUAAAUUCUUACACUUGUACAAAUAUUAAUCAUAGUGAAAUCUUUGUAUUUGGGGCGUUGGACGGGGAUAUUAUUUAUUUAUGCAAUCCUUAUCCCGUGUUUAUGCAAAUUUAGGUUGUUAAUAUUUAUAUUAAAUUUAUUUAGAUAUAAUCAAAUAAUCAACUCUUUUUAUACUAAAACAUUACGUAAUCUUUCUUUAGAAUAAUUUUUUCUUCAUUCAAUCUUUUCAUUUUUUUCGUACAUAUUCUCAUGUACUUUUGUUUAUCUUCAUACAUUUUCUACACAAAUUUUUUUACGAUAACAUAUGCAAUUUACACAGCCUUUAUAUAUAAAUUGUUUAUAUCAUCUUAUGUAAGACCCCACAAAGUUUCCUCGUAGUCCGAGCCUUAGAGUGUGUCAAGUGAAGUAUAAUUUCGACCCUAAAAGAUUGAGAAGAGACUUCUCAAGUGAUUGGUGUUUAAAAUAUAUAGGAUUUUCUUAAAUUUGACUUUUUGUCAUGUAGAGAAUUGAAUUAGCUUUACAAUGAUACCAAUUUCGUCCAAAUCCGGUAUCGGGGUGAGAAGUUAUGGCCAUUUUAUUGAGAGUUAUCGGAAUCGCCCAGGUGCGACAGACGAUCCGACGGACUGUCGAAUCUGCGACAGACCAUCAAAACCAAGGAAGAAACUCCCUUUCCUAGCCCAAGUGUGACGGCCAGGACGACGGACUAUCAAGGCUGCGACAGACCGUCGCCACUAAGGCGGUGUGGUCUCAUCCUGGCUAUCGUGCAACGGACGACCCGACGAACCAUCAGAACUUCGAUGGACUAUCGAUACGACCGUUGCAUAGAGGCAAUAUGUCCCAUUUCUGGUCAUCGUGCGAUGGACGACUCGACGGACCGUCGCUUCGAUCGUCGCAGUCCCCGUUCAGUAUUUUUAACUCAUUUUAAUAAGGAGUUUUUCAGUAUUUCCACUCUUUUAUUAAGUAGAUAUAUUCCAAGUGAAGCAAAUGGCUUCAUUCAUCAUCCAAAACAAAAGAGAGCUAGGGUUUCUCCCUCAAGAUCAAAUCUAAAACCCUUCUCCAAGAAAUUCAAGAACUCACCAUAGAUUCUAUAAAUUGAAUUGAGAUUUGAGCUUCCCAAGUUCGAGGGUUGCUAGAACUCUCUCUCAAGAGUGAGAAUAAGAGUUUAGAGUUCCAAAAGCAAGACUUCAUCCAAAGCUUCUAAUUCAAGGUAUGUGGAGUUUUGAACAAGGGUAAUCCUUUCACCCUUGUGCCCAAAGGCCUAUUUAAACUACAAUUCUCUGCAAUUUAUGAGAUUUUACAUGAAAUUGAAUUGGGGGUUUUCACCCAUUGUUAUUGAUUGCAAGCUUUUGAUGUUUCCCUUGAAUUGAGAGUCUAAUGGCAUGGUUUUUACAUAUUUUCUUGAGACAUUGCAGCUGGGUCUAUACCCCAUAAUUUUAAUCCUUGAGAAGUUAAUAGUUGAAAUGUUUGAGAUAUUGAAGUAUAUGAGUAUGUUGAGAUUUUGAGACAAAUUGCUGAAAUUUCCAGAUUUCUACAUGAGUUAUGAAUCUAUAUGCUAUCUAUUAUGCUUUUGAUGAGUUUUAACUUGAGAUUGAAUUAUGGGUUAUUAAGCCCUACUUGAGACUUGAGAUUUUAUGAACUCUUGUGCUAUAAGCACCUAUGAUUUGAGUAUUCUGAGAUUAUUGAGAAAUGUUUUGACCUAAUUGUCAUUGAGUUUUGAAAUCCACUCUACUACAUGAGAUUACANNNNNNNNNNNNNNNNNNNNNNNNNNNNNNNNNNNNNNNNNNNNNNNNNNNNNNNNNNNNNNNNNNNNNNNUUUAGUGAUCACUGGACCUAGGUUAUACUCCCUGGCAAGAGUAUGACGCCUCUCCCCAACUUGAGGUCUCUUCCUUAGAAGGACAAAACGUUGGACUCCAUGUAGCUCGCAUGGUUUAUGUCGAUUAAGAGAACCUCCCUUGACAUUUAAACUUCGAAAUCAGUUACCCUCAAAACUAAAGUAUUUUCCAUUGAGAUAAGAUAUUUUCCUUUAAAACUAAAAUACUUUCCCUUGAUAUGAGUAUUUUUCCCUAAAGCUUGAAAUGAGAUAUUUUCCUAACGUGAAUGAAAUGCCUUCAAGUAUGUUCCAAAGUUAUAUGAUUUUAAAUUCCAAGAAUUUGAGUUCAAAAGAGUUAUGAGUUCUUGAGCAUUAAAUAAGUUUUACUCUCCAUGAGACAUAUGCAUGAGUUGAAAGUAUUGCUUAAAGUUUCCUUUAGUCUUGAGUAAUGAGAAUAAAAGAAGAGUACAAAUUCCAAAGCUAAAGUAUAAUGACUCAUGAGAUUGUGUUACAUGUUCCAUUUUACAUGAUUCAUGAGCUUUGCAUUUUAUACUUAUUCAAGACAUGUGAGUCAUUACUUAUUACAUGUAUGAUUUGAUUAAAGAAUAUUGAUGUUGUUUUAUAUAAAUGCAUGCACCCCCACAUACUCAGUACAUUCUCAAGUGCUGAUCCACAUAUACGUCUAUGUGUUAAAUUGUCUUAUAAUGUAGGUUCAGGUGCUCAGUCCCAACCUCGUCAGUGAUUUUCGAUUACCUCUAUCUACAUUCCUACAGUGGUGAGCCCUCAUGGUUAGAGGACCUAUAUUCAGACAUCUCCAUAUUUUGAGAGACUAUGUCAUUAUUUCUAGUUCAUUUUGAGUCAUUUGGGUACUUGUACCAACGGCUCUCUAGUUCAUGGAUUAGUAGAGGCUUUGUCAGACUAGUUAUCAGAUUGUGGUUGUGUUGAGGUUUCCAGUAUUAUGGUCAUUUGGACCGAGCAUUUUAUUUGUAUUUUCUUUCAUAUGAUAUAACUAUGCUAGUGUUUGAAUUAUUUCAUCUUGAAAUUAGUGUUAUUAGUAGAAACAGGCUCAAAGGGUUAGCUUGAGGCUACUUGUAGUCUUAAGCACCGUGUGACGUCUCGGGAGGUGAUUUCAAGUCGUUACAUCUUAAUACACAUUUUAUAUUUGUAUUUACAAAUAUUGAUUUUUUCUUUUCCUUGUUUAAUAAACGUAAGUCUUGUCGGGAACCACAUUUGUGGAUUCUAAAGGAUGGCUAACCCCCUCCUUUCGAAAUAAUUUGAAUCCUUAUUUAGAAUCUAAAUUGAUUUCGUGGAUUAAAAUAAAGUCAUACUUGUUAAUAAUCAAGUAGGUUUCCUCAUUUUCCUAAAAAUUAGGUGGCAACUCUGCAUAAAAAUCAAUUCUAUUAGAGUCCAAAAUAUCGUGCUUGUUUUAACCUUAGAUAAAAAUAGGGUAUGACAGUUUGGCGACUCUGUUGGGGAUUAAAGGUUCUAAUCAUUACAGAUUUAGGUAAAUAUUUAUGUUUUUAUACAUUAUUAUUUGUUUCAUUCUAGUUGUCUUGAUUUAUUUAAUUUGUAUGGCACAAGUUGUUUAUCUGUUAUUAUUUUGUAUAGAUUAUUUAUUUAUUUAUCGCUUUAUAUAAAUUGACAUCCAUUCAUAUUUCCUCUACUUUGGAGAACUGACACGCACACACAUUGUACACGUGGAUUGUACAUUGUACUUUCCCAAAAUUCUUUCAAAUCACCUUACUUUAGAGAGUUGGUACAUACGUGGGGUGAGCGAGAGUUUUGCUGUCGUGAAACCACAUGCCUUGUCAUAUAAGAAAUUCAAAUCUAUGUUUGCUCACUCUUAGUCAAACAUAGGAUAGAACUAAAACAAUACCUUUUAGGUACAUGCAUAUUAGUAAAUUUUGUCAAAACAUCAGAAGAGUUCACGAUCCAAGUGGCGCAUUAUCAGUCUCUGUACAUAUUUGAAAGAUGAUUGUUCUUAUAUAUUAACUACUUGCUCUAAAUUGGUUAUACUUUAGUAUGAAAGGUGUAAUCUAAUCCUUAUUUUGUAUAACGGAUCAGUUAAAAGAUGCACCUUUGCAACAUCGUCGAUAGUUGCAUAUAGGAUUGAACUACGUUUUGACCUGAUUCUUGUACUGACAAGAUACGUAGGCAACCCUAUGUUAGGAUUCAGUCUCUUCACUAUUUUAGAAUAAUUUCUCUGGUAUUAAAAACUGGAGAAAUUUUCUAAAAUAGUUCAAAGAUGCUCUCUGCUGGCCUUUAAGAGUGCAAAUCAAUAGCUUUUCAAAACCCAAAUCUUAAUAACAUUAGUGCCUAGCCGGUCUACCUCCAGAUCCUCACCUGAUUUUUGUGUGAUAAUAUGUAGCUUCUUCUUUCGAAUGUCAUAAUCCAUUAAACUAAUGGCGUAUCGAUCUUGACUUUCUAAAGCAAUGGUUCAAUAUUUUUUCAGUUAUAAUAACUCUACCAACAACUAUUAUGGACUCAAAAAGAAUUUAUUUUUAUACAGUUUGGCAACUCUGUUGGGGAUUAAAGGUUCUAAUCAAUAUAGAUUUAGGUAAAUAUUUAUGUUUUUAUACAUUAUUAUUUGUUUUAGUCUAAUUAUCUUGAUUUAUUUUAUUUGUGUGGCACAAGUUGUUUAUUUGUUAUUAUUUUGUAUAGAUUAUUUAUUUAUUUAUCGCUUUAUAUAAAUUGACAUUCCAUUCAUAUUUCUCUACUUUGGAGAACUGACACGUACACACAUUGUACACAUGGAUUGUACAUUAUACUUUCCCAAAAUUCUUUCAAAUCACCUUACUUUAGAGAGUUGGUACAUACGUGGGGUGAGCGGGAGUUUUACUGUCGUGGAACCACAUGCCUUCUCAUAUAAGAAAUUCAAAUCUAUGUCUUCGCACCCUUAGUCAAUACAGGAUAGAACUAAAACAAUACCUUUUAGGCACAUGCAUAUUAGUUAAUUUUGUAAAAAUGUCAGAAGAGUUCACGAUCCAAGUGGCGCAUUAUCAAUCUUUGUACAUAUAUGAAGGAUAUACAUUAUGUACUUGCUCUAAAUUGGUUAUACUUUAGUAUGAAAGGUGAAAUCAAAUCUUUAUUUUGUAUAACGGAUCAAUUAAAAGAUGCACCUUUGCAACAUCGUCGAUCGCUGCGUAUUGGAUUGAACUACGUUUUGACCUGAUUCUUUUCCUGACAAGAUACGUCGGCAACCCUGUGUUAAGAUUCGGUCUCUUCACUAUUUUAGAAUAAUUUUUCUGGUAUUUAAAACUAGAGCAAUUUUUUUAAACAGUUCAAAGAUGCUCUCUAAUGAACUUCAAGAGAGCAAAUCAAUAGCUUUUCAAAAUCCAAAUCUCAAUUACAUUAGUUCCUAGCCGGUCUAACACCAAAUCCUCAGCUAAUUUUUUGUAUUACCCAAAACCUUCCUUAAGCCUAAAUUGUAUCUCUAUAAGAUUAAGGAAUGGCUUCCAAAGUGAGUAGUAUUUAAAUCAUAUAGAGUUUUCCUAAUUUUGACUUUUUAUCAUGUGAAAAAUUGAAUUAGCUUUCCAGCUAUACCAAUUUCGUCCGAAUUCGGUAUCGAGGUGAGAAGUUAUGGUUGUUUUACUGAGAGCUAUCAGAACCACCGAGGUGCGACGGGCAAGUUGACGGACCGUCAAGCUUGCGACGGACCAUCGCUCAAGCCGUCGCAACCAAGGCAGUAAACCCAUUCACUGGCCAAGUACGACGGUCGGGCCGAUGGACCAUCGAGCUAGCAACGAACCAUCGCCCAAGUCAUCGCUACUAAGGCAGUGAGCCCCUAUUUUGGUCCAAGUGUGGCGGUCAGACCAACAGACCAUCGAGCCAGCGAUGGACCGUCACACGAGCCAGCGAUGGACCGUCACACGAGCCAUCGCAGAUCCCGUUCAGCAUUUUAAAUCUAUUUUUAAAAGGGUUUUUUGGUAUUUUUCACCCUUUUUAACACCCAGAUAUAUCAAAAAGAAGCAUAGAACUUCAGAUUAUUUCAUAGCAUCAAAAACUAGGGUUUCUCCCUCAAGAGCAAGACCCAAUUCCUUCUCCAAGAUUUCACUUUAGUUCUUUCAAAUUGAUUUAAGAAUCAAGGUCCCCAAGUCAAAACUUCAAGAACCCUCACUCAAGAGUACGAAAAAGAGUCUCAACUGAGCUUGCUCAUCUACAAGUCAUAAUCUAAGGUAUGUAGGGUUUGAACAAGGGUAACUCUUUCACCCUUGUGCCCAAAGGCUUACUUUAAAUACAAAAUUUCUGCAAUUUAUGAGAUUGACCAUGAAAUUAAAGUUAGGGUUUAUACCCCUUUACUAUUAUUUGCAAGAUUUUAAGAGUUCUCAUGGAUUAAGAGUUGAAUUUCAUGAUUUUGUUUAUAUUUCUAUGUCUAUUGAUGAAAUUUACAGAUUUUAAGAUGAUUUAUGAGUAAUUGCAUUACCAAGUAUGAAUAUUAAUUAUGUUUUGAUAUGAGACUGAUGAUUGGUUCAAUAGACCCCAUUUAAAGAUUGUUGUUCAAGAUUGUUUAUGCUACAAGCACCCCUUGGUUAGGUUAUUUUCAGAUUUCAAAUAAAGAUUUGACCCUUUUGGGUCUAAGCUAAGAUAAGAGUCCUCAUUACUUAUGAAUUAAAGUCAAGAGAAGUAUAUUUGGUCUUUAUUAUAGACCCUUGAAUUAUUUUAAGGUGGAUUUCCUAAAAGUUCUGAGCUUAAGUAUGAGAGUAGUAUUUAGCAUCGAGUUGGGCAUGAUUCUAAGGUCUCAAGCCCCAGAACUACAUGCCCUGUAGGUUUUUAAUUUACCCCAAGUGGUUUAAGAUAGUGAUCACUAAAGAUAUGGUUCUAUUCCGGUAGCAAGGGUAGGGUUGAUCUCCCCAACGUGGGCAAGACAUUGGACUUCAUGUGGCUCACAUGGUUUAUAUCUGUUAGAAGAAAAUCCCAAGUCCCAAAGUCCUAUAAUCUCUACAUUUUAAAGAAGAACCUUAUUCUCCACAAGAUAACAAGUUUUGAAAAUUAUUGUUUUAAGAUUCCUCUUGCUUACAAGUUUUGAGAAUAAGAUGGAGAACAUAGAUUUUAGAACUAAGUGUAAUGACUCACUAGAUUUGUACUAUAUGCUUCAAUAUACAUGAUUUAUGAGAUUUAGAUUUUAGUUUUACUCAAUCUGUGAGAGUCAUUCAUAUCAGUAUGCAUGUUUUAUAAAGAAUGAUAACAUUGCUUACUUAAAUGCAUACACCCCUAUAUACUCAGUACAUCCUCAAAGUACUGAUCCACAUAUAUGUCUGUGUACUACAUUGUCUCAUAAUGUAGGUUCAGGUGCUCAGUCCCAGCAGUGAUAGUGAUUCUCGAGUACCUUUAUCUAUACUCCACAGUUUAUGAGUCCUCAUGGUUCAAGGACCUAUUGCUCAAAUUUUCAGUUGUUAUUGCUUUCAGCUUAGUCAAGUUAGUUGGGGGUCUAUCCCAAUGAAUACCUAGUUCUUGAUUAGUAGAGGCUUUGUCAGACUAGAUUAUCAGUACGUUUAGACUUUCAGUAUUUUGACUGUUCAGACAAGUAUUUCUUCAUAUUCCCUUUAUGAUUAUGAUAUGACAGUACCAUCGUUUUUCCUUAUUCAUCUCAGAGUAAGUUUUAUAUGUAGUAGCAGUCUCAAAAGGGUUAGCUUGGGCUACUUGUAACCUUAAGCACUGUGUGACAUUCUGGGAUGAGAUUUUGGGGCGUUACAUUUUUUGCGAGAAUAUUUAGCUUCUUAUUUCGAAUGUCAUAAGCCAUUAAAUAUCGAUCUUCACUUUCUAAAGCAAGCGUUCAAUAUUUUUCAGUUAUAAUAACUCUACCAACCACAGAGAAAUAAUGUCAUAAUUCUUCCAAUGUCUACUUUUUCAAUCUUGUCAACAUACUGAAGUUGUGUCAAAGUUCUCCCCAUGCUUGACAUUCAUCCUCUCGAUCGUUUGAACGAAAUAAUUUUGAUGCUAAAAGCAGUUCUUUCCUGAUCAUCUUUUAUAUUAUUUUCAAGAAUUAUCAUCAUUCUUUUAUAAUUAUAUGUUUCAAAUACAAAUUCACAAAUUUUCCUAAACUACGCAAACCUGAUUCUUAUUUUCACAAGAUACAUAGGCAACCCUCAUUUGGGUUUAAUCAUAUUUUUAAAAAAAAAAGUAAAAUAUUGACUUGAUUAGUACCAAUACAGUUAGGAGUGUGCAUGAUAAAGAACAAAUUGGCAUGAUAUAAAGGACCGAUUUCAUGAUAAACUAUAGAUUAUUUUGAUACUUUUUAUCUCACUUGAGUGAUGUUUAAAAAAUUCUCUUGCAUACAUCUAAGACAAAAAUGAAGCCAACCUCGUCGUUUCAUGUGCAAUGUAUGGUGAGUUUUAGUUUAAUUCAUUGCAUUGCAUUGCUGAUCUAAAACUUGGCCAAAAUGUCUAUUGAGGUAAAAUUCUGAGUUUUAGUGGAUUUAGGAAAGGAUCAUAGUCCUUUUUUGACUUGAUUGUGUCUUCCACAGCCCACCAAGUGAACUUGAUCCCUAUAAUUUUGAUUUUUGAGACUAAAACCUUUUCUUUGGACAACCACAUCUGAGACUAUACCUUUUUUAGUGCUUACAAGCACUAUCUCUUGCUUGGCCCUACCUCAUCGAGCGCACUAACUAUGUGCAAAUUACGGACGAAUAUUCAAGAUCAAAGAUGCAGAAUGCAAAAAAUAUAUUAUCCCAGAUGAAAAAAAAUAAAAAGAAAUGACUUAAAAGGGUGCAAAACUACCACAAAAAAAGAAAAGAAAAAAUAACAAAAAAUAUGUAGUUUAUUUUAAAAAGGGGAAAACUCCAAUACAAGAUACAAAAGAAGUUGAAGCAAGUACAAAACAAGGAGCAACGAACGAAUUACAACAUAGAAGAUCACGUGUUAAAGUGCAAUAAACGUCGAAAGCACAAAUAUAGUGUAAUGCUCAUUGAGGAAUUAGUCACUUUCAUCCCAAAUAUUAUCCUACCUGUCCCAAAGCCUGUAUUACAAGUAGUUAACAAGUCCUACAAGAUCUUAUUUCAAGUUUUCUCAUAUUAAUGGUUACUUACAUGAAGGUCAAGCCUAUGAUAUCACAAUUGCAUGCAUUGAAUUUCUUUCUGAGUAUAAGUAUACUUCUCUAGAUGUCCCCAAAUUCAAACAAAAAUUACUCAAAUAUGUGCAAAAUGGAACUUUCAUUCUAAGAAAGGACGUUUGAAGCUUUAGGAUAGGUAAAGUCAAAAAUAUUUCUUUGAAUCAAGACGAACAAAUUUUGUCGGUACUUAGGCGUGUCUAAGGAACCACUUGAAACUAUGAGAGUUACCCUGAAGUCAAAUUUGAUUUGCCGAAAUAGAGAUGGGGGAAUUCCUAUGUACACUACUAAUUAUUGGUACCAACUGAAGUCAAGACACGAUCGUGUGUUCUUCAUCUUUCAACACUUUUUAUCAAGAAAACACAAAAAAAAUCGUUUAUUUUUUCAAGGUGCCUAAUUUCACAUACGGGCAUUUUUACUUUUCAUUCCAGGUGCCAAGUUUUUAAAUUACGGUCAUUUGACAUUUUAUUUCAAGCUUAAAUACCGAUAUUUUAUUUUUCAGUCAAGCACCCAUCUUUGAGUAUUUCUAUAUUUUUUAUAGUCCCGCCAAUAGAGAGGCUAUUACAUUUGUUUUCCUAGUUGAGAACCUUCUACAUUUCAAUAGCCCCAUCAAUUGAGAUGCUAUUAGAUUUCAAUCACCUCACUAGUUGAGAUUCUCAAUCUUCGUAGACAAUCGAAGGCGACAAUAAUCAUCAAUCUUUAUACACUAUUGAGAUGUCAUCUUCAAGUCUCCGUAGAUAAUCAGAGAUGUCGUGCUUUUUUUUAAAUAAUAAGACAUUUUUUUAGGUCUCUUUCAAAGGAGAUAAUGUCAUCAUAAAUCAUACACUGGGGAAAAUUUUCAGAGUUGCCUAAAAACAUUACCCUAUUUUCUUAUUUCAAAUUACAUUGACCUGAUUCUCGUAACAUUUGAGAUAUGUAGGAAGCUCUAUGCAGAGUUUGAUCUUCACAACUCAAUAAUCAUUCUUUCUCCCUAGCAAGCACAUAAUCUUACACCUCAUCAUAUCACAGCGAGAUACUGUGGCAAUUUUAAAAGGAGCAUAAAAAAUAUAUGAAUAUUUUCCUUUCCAAGCAAUCCUUUUUCUCAAUAACCAUUUCACAUGGGGGCGUCCACCCUAAAAUAAGACAAUUGAGUUAGUUGUCCCUCCAAUAAGAAAGUUAUGCACAUUUUUCUUCAAUUAAAUAUUUAUGCCUGCUUGCCUCUACUUGCACAUAUUGCACUACAUUUAUUUUUUUUAGCACUACAUGCUAUCUUUGUCUUUAUUUGUAUAUAUCACAAUGUAUUUAUUUUAUUAUUUUGAUCGCAUGUUAUAUUUGCUUUUACUUUCACUUAUCGCAAUGCAUUUAUUUUAUCAUUAAACACUCCAUGUCAUUUUUGUCUUUACCUACACACAUCCUAAUACAUCUUUUUUUAUUAUGUAAGUAUUGCAUGCCUCGCAAAUAUCGUAAAUGUAUUUAUUAUAUCAUUUAAGUACUGCAUGUCAUUUUUACCUUUACUGAUACAUAUCGCAAUACAUUUAUUUUAUUAUUUAAGCACUGCACGCACAUAUCGCACUGCAUUUAUUUUAUCAUUUAGGCACUGCACGCCUCGCAAAUAACACAAUGCAUUUAUUUUAUCAUUUAAGCACUGCAUGCCAUAGUUGUCUUUACUAGCACUAGAUAUGCAUUUGUUUCACAAUUUAAGCACUGGAUAUCAUCUUUGUCUUUGCUGACACAUGUUACAAUGUAUUUAUUUAUCAUUUAAACACCAUGUAAUCUUUGGCUUUACUUGCACAUCUCGCAAAUGCAUUUAUUUUUAUCAUUUAAGCACUAAAUGUUAUCUUUGUCUUUAUGGGCACAUAUUGUAAUGCAUUUAUUAUUUUAUUAUUUAAUAUUGCACACACAUAUAGCAAUGCAUUUAUUUUAUCAUUUAGGCACUGCACGCCUCGUAAAUAUCGUAGUGCAUUUAUUUUAUCAUUUAAGCACUGCAUAUCAUUUUGGUCUUUACUUGCACAUCUCGCAAAUGCAUUUACUUUUAUCAUUUAAGUACCGCAUGUCAUCUUUGCCUUUACUAGCACAUAUCGCAAUGUAUUUAUUAUUUUAUUAUUUAAGUACUACAGACAAAUAUCGCAAUGCAUUUAUUUUAUCGUUUAGGCACUGCACGCCUCGCAAAUAUUGCAAUGCAUUAAUUUUAUCAUUUAAGCACUCCAUGUCAUUUUGGUCUUUACUUGCACAUCUCGCAAAUGCAUUUGUUUUAUCAUUUAAGCACUACAUGUCAUCUUUGUCAUUACUGGCACCUAUCACAAUGCAUUUAUUUUAUUAUUUAAGCAUUGCACGCUCAUAUGACAAUGAAUUUAUUUUAUCAUUUAGGCAUUGCACGCCCUACAAAUAUCGAAUGCAUUUAUUUUAUAAUUUAAGCACCUCAUGUUAUUUUUGCAUUUAUUUGCAUAUCACAAUGCAUUUAUUUUGUUAUUUAAGCACUACAUGCUUUGUCUUUACUUGCACAUAUUGCAAUGCACUUAUUUUACCAUUUAAGCAUUGGAUACUAGCUUUGCCUAUACUAUUUUUUCUUAAUUAGUUAAGCACUGCAUGGUAUCUUUAAUUUAAAAAAAAAAAAAAAAGACAAAAAAUCAAGCUUAAUUUUUUGUUAUUGUUUUAUUGAGUAAUACUUCUUAAUUUGAUGCAUUUGUCACCAUAAUUUGAGGAUAAAUUGGGUCCGUCCUUCCUAAAAUAGAAUAUUUUGGGGUUAGUCUGUCCUUUAAUUAAACCUUCUAUGCAUGUCUAUCUUCAAUUGAAUAUUUUAUUUCCCUUUAGUUAAAAUCAUGCAAUGCCUUUAUUUAGUAGUCUUUAAUUUAGUUAAGCACUCCAUGCAUUUUUUUUAAUUUCUUGAAAAAAAUCAAGCCUAGUUACUCGUUUGACUUUAUUGAGUAUUGUUUUUCAGUUUCAUAAAUUUUGCAGGUACAGAAUUUGAGUAGAUAUUGGGUUCGUUUAGUCAAAAAUAGGACUUAUUGAGAUAACAACUCUAAAUUGGAGUUUGCUCGAAUUUUUUUUAUCAAAAAUAAUUUGUUUUACCAAGCAAAAUUGGCUACACGUCAACGUUUUCAUCUGAAGACUUCUAUAUCAUCUUCAAACGAAAAGGGGCAACUGUUGACACCCAAUUUUGGCUCUCCAUGCUUAAAAUUAACGCAUUUAGUCUUCCUGAUCGUUAAAUGACACAAAAUAUAAUUUUUCACACAUUUUUUACAAUUGUUAAUAAAUUAUUGACAAUCUUCAAUAUUUUAGGUUUUUAUCAAUUCAUUGUAAUAUUUUAAUUUUAUAUAAUUUAUUGAUAAUUAUCCUUAAUUUCAUAAAUUUUAGAAUUUUUAUUUGUUUAUUAUCAUUUUAAUAUUUUUGCACGGUCAUCUGCAUACAUACAUAACAUAACACUGCAAAUUUUUUUCAUAUUAUAAUUUUAGCUGUUUAUAGUGUAAUAUAUUUUUUAAAGAUAUUAUAUUUGUUGUUUACAUUUUUCUGUAAUUAUAAAUCAACAUUCAUAUUUUUGUACAUUAUUUAAGACGACCUACAACGAUAGUGUCGACUCGAUUAUUUUAAUACACAAACCAAUAAAUCAAUCAAAUCAAAAUUUCAUCUCUUUUAAAAAGUGACAUUUGAGGUGACGGGUUGAAGUUUUCAUUUAUUAGAUAAGAAAAUCUUUACAUAUUGGACAAGUUUUUUUUGGUUAAUUACUUUUGGAUUAAGGAUAUUUUAUAAAGACAAGGUGGGACACUUUUUAAUUUUUUGAACAAUAAAAGGGCCAAUUUUAUUUAUAAAUAAGACAAGGUCUUAUUUUUAUACACACUUUAACACACAACACAUCCCAAAUUUCCCCUCCUUUCCUAUUUUUCUUUCUAAAAACCAACCUCCUCCCUCACCCAUAUGUCGGCACCGCCGAAUCAGACCACUGGAUGGCUGGUAUUUUACUGCCACCACUGCGCCACCCCUCUUUUCCUCCGCAUUUCCAGCGAGUUCCAGCCUGAGAUAACACCAGCUACCUUUUUUGCUAGUCUUCUCCGUCGCUACUUCACCGGAGGUGAUGGACGAUGAAACUCAAACACGAAAUAACCCUUCUCGUCUCUCUCUUUCCAACCCCACCGGUGAAAUCCGUCGCAUCCAUCUCUGUCGGUGAGAAUUCCGGCCAAACUCAGGUAGAAACCUCCUUUUUUCCCUAUUCUCCCACCGUUUAGUAUUUUUACUCUUCAUUUAUGGAGUUCUUGACUAUAUCAUAAAUGGAGAAAGUUGAUUGAAUUUUUCACUUUCAAGCGUUACUCCGGCGAUGUCGUUGAAGCAACGUCGGCAGCCUCAAUUGCUUCAACUUUUCUUCUUCAGUGAACUGAGUUUUGGAUGUUGUGUAUUUGUUUUAUGUAGAUCUGGCCGACAAGAUGCCAUCCCUGGUGACCUCUUCUUUUAUAUAUAUUCAUAUAUGUUGUAUUUAUUUGCUUGACCUAUUUGUUGCUGUUCAUAUCAUUAAUUUUUAAUUUUCUAACAAAUUUGUGGUUUGUUCUGGCAAUUUGGUUGUUGCUUUGCUGGUUUUGUGGAUGCUAUUACCUCUGGUUUGGUUGUUGCUUUGCUAGUUUCAUGGUUGUUAUUGCCUCUGUUUUGGGGCUAAUUACUAUUCUCUCUUGGGGUAACUACAUUACAUUUCACCCCUUGCAAUUUUAUUAAAUUAAUAAAAGACAGACACAACAUAAUAAAUUGGCUGAUGAGGAAAUUUUUCGUCAAUAUUUAUAACAACCUAAAAAUUUGAUGAAAUAUGUAAAAUUUAUGAUUUUGUAUGAUUUGACUAUUUUACCCCUAUUCGUAAUUACAUUAUGGUAUUUCUGGGGUGUGGGAGUGAUUGACAUGGUUUUCGAUGCAUUUUGGUACCAUUUAUACAAUAUUGUGGUUUUUGAUGGUUUCGAGAGCCUUUUAUGUGAAUAUAUUUUGAUCCGUGCAAUGGAUGACUGAACAGACUGUCAGCAUAUCUAAAAUAUCAAUUUUAUGCUAGGUAUACCUUUGGUUCGGGUUCCGGUGCACUUGAGCUCAUUUCGACCUAUUGGUCAAAAAGUUGAAAAAUUGAAACUAUGAGUGUGGGACCCACCCAUAUUUAGUCAAAACAACCUCAGAUGAAGAAUUUGACUUCUCCAAAAGAUCCAAAACGUUGAUUUUAAUGUGGUGACAUAUUUGGUAUGAUUUUAUGACUUUUAAAGCUCAUUUCGACCCUCAGUUUGAAAAAUUGUGAUUUUGAGUUUCGGAGGUCAACUUUGUGAAAAUGACUUUUUUUGAAAAUCUGAUAUCACCAUUGAGUCCGGUGCAUCGAAUUUAGUGUUUUUACAUAGUUCAUUUGCAUAUAUCGGACUUCGAACGAAUUUUGAGCACCCCGUCGGAGUCUGGGUUGGACUUUAAAAAGAAAACUGUUGUUAUAGUAGGGGUGACAAUUUCAGCCCAUGUUUGUAAAAAGAGUCCAUUUAACCCAUAUUUAGUGAAUUGGAUCACUCAUAUUUCAAAUGGGUAAAUAUGGAUUUCGACUCAUUUUAAAAGCUAAUACAAAUAUGAACAAAAUGGGAAAAUAUGGGUACCUAUUUAAACAUAGAGAUCACCCACCUAUGCUUAAAGUUUCAAUUUUUUUUCUUUUCUAGUUUCUUUUCUUCUUCUUUUUUUCUUUAAUUUAUUUUUUUUCUUUUUCAUUUUUUUUAGUCAUUCCUUAUAAUUUCUUUUUUUCUUUUCCAUUUUUUCAUCUAUUUUUUUAUUUUUUAUUUUUAUUUCUUUUUUCUUUGUAUUCUUUUUUUUUUCGCUUUCCCCUUUCUCAUUCUUAUUUCAUCAUUCGUAUUCGCUUGAGACCUACAUGGGUUAAUAAAUAUAAGUUUCUAAUUAUCCCAUUUAGCCAAUAUAAUUCAUAAUAUCUCUUAUCAAUUAAAUAUAAUCCAUAGUCUCACUUCUUUAUUAUUAUUUUUUUCUAUCUUUUAUUUCUCUUUCUUUUUUUUUAAUUUACUAUUUUUUUCUUUCUUUUUUCCUUUAAUUUACUUUUUUUUCUUUCACUUUUUCCACUUAUUUUUUACUCGUUUCUUACACUUUUUUUCUUUCUUCUUUUUCAUCAUUUUUUUCUUUUUCAAUGUUAUUUCUUUGCAUUCUUUUUUUUGUAUUUCUGUUUGCCCCUUUUUCAUUCCUGAUUCGUCAUUUUUGUCAUUUUUCUUAUUUUUUUUUAUAUUCUUUUACUUAUCUUUUUUUGUCAUUGCAUUUUAUAUUUUUUUACUUUAAAUUUAUUUGUAUCAUACUAUAUAUUUCAAAUAAAUUUAUUAUUUGUAUUUGAAUAGUUUAGUAGUCAAUAUGUGCAAUUUAUCAUUUGUAUUUAUAUACAAAUAAGUAUAUGAAUUAAAAUCAACAUGAGUUGUGGUAUAGUGGAUGGGGCUGCUCCAUCCUUAACCAGAGGUUGAGGGUAUGAUCCUGGUUAUGGAGAAAACUCUGUUGGGAGCACUGCCACCUUAAUGGGCCCUGCAACGCCCUAUCCGAAUUAGUCGGGGCUCCAAUGCAGGCACCGAACACCGGAUGAAAAAACAAAAAAAAAGUAUAUGAAUUAAUUGCAUUUUCUUGAGACUAAAAUAUUUAUGGCUGAGGAUCCACAUAGCCCUCGAAUUAUAAAUGUUGGGCGAAUAUAAAUCAAUAUGCGCUUAUGGUAUUUUCGUUAUCAUAAAAAAAAAGAAGGAAACCAAAAAUAGAAAAAAAAAAAAAGUAGAAAGAGGUAGAAGUUAAAGAUAGAAGAGAGAAAAAAGCGUAAAGAAAGAAUUGAAGAAAAAAAUAUGAAGAAAAUCAAAAAGAAAAAAUAAUGAAAAAGGAGAAAAGGAAAAAGAAAAAAGAUGAUGGGGAAAAUAAAUAUACUGAGUGGUUACAAUAUUUUAGUCAUCAUCCAUAAUUUAUACUCGACUUAACCCUGUUCUUCGAAAAUAAGAAAAAUAUAAAACAUAAAAUACAACCAAAAAAGAAAAAAAUGAGAAAGAAGUAAAAAAAAAGAAAAAAAGGAGACUAAAAAGGAAAAGAAAAAGAAAGAGAAACAAAGGGUAGAGGGUAGAGAUAGAAGAGAGGGAAAAAAAAAUGACAAAAAAAUGAAACAAAAAAAACUAGAGGCUACAUAUAGAAGAGAGACAAAAAAAACUAAAAAAAAAAAGAAAUGGAAAUAAAGUCAAGUUGAUAUGAUAUAGAAGUUUUAAGUUUUUGACUUAGGAGUUAAAGUGGGUUGAAACCAUUUUUACCCAAUCCAUAUUUGACCAAAUCCAUAUCUACCCAUAUUUAUAUGGGCGGAUUGCAAUCCAAACCAUUUUUGCUUAAUCCAUAUUUAACCCGUCCAAAUCCAAUCCAAUCCGCCUAUUUGCCACCCCUAUGUUAUAUCUAUUUUUCUGUUAUAUAUAGCAGAUUUUUUCCCUUUUUUGGCCCAUUUUUUUCAUUCUUUCAUUUUGCCUCUUAAGAGUUAGACCCUAAAAUAGUGUGAGAGCUUAAAAUUGUAGCUUGUGGGAGCUUGGAAAGCUAGAUUAACAUUUAUUUUUUGAUUUUAUUAAAGAUUUAAGGUAAGAAUUCACCCUUUUCUUAGAAAUUUCUUGAUUAAUAUCUCAAAAAUCUAAAAAAAUUUAGGGCUUGAUUUUAAACUCUAAUUUCACUAUUUUUCACUUGAAUAAUGUUUUUAUCUUAUAAUUACUAGUUUUUCAUCAAUUUAACCUUCAAAACAACUCUGAUUCUUGAUUUUAACUCGGAUUUUAAAGAUUUAACCCAGUAAAGCUCAAAAAUGGUUUUUCUUCAAUUUGAACCUCAUUUUUUUACUCGAUUUGACUUGAAUUUUCAGUUAUAGGUUCCUAAAAAUAUGGUAAAUACAUUUUUGAAGUAAAGUUCCAAUUUUACCCUUCUUUUUUGAAAACUCAUUUUGGUGGUUCAUUUUGAUCCUGAACCAAAAGUAGUCAAUAUAGGUACCGUUGAUUGUAUUUUGAUUUUUAGAUUCCAUAUUGGAUGUUUUUAGUGAGUUUGGAAUCAUUCGUGGAAAGUAAGGUCAUGGGUUCAAAGUGUAGCGGACCAAUUUCGACAUUAGAGGUAGGUUAUGACUUAACUCUUUCAGACUGGACUGAGUAGAAAAUGAUGGUACAAAAUGUAUAUUAAGGGUGGAAAAUAAUCAUAAAAAUGGCUAUAUAUGUGUUGUGCCCGUGUGGGGGCCCAUAUGUGAUAUAAUUGUCGAAAUUAAGAUAUUAUGUGAUGUGUGUGACUGUAUGGAGUCCUGUAUGAUGUUGAUAGCCCUAAAUACAUGUGAAUAACCGUAUUGUGUUGUUUAAAUGCCUAAAAUGGUACCAUUGGUGUAUUGUGAUAUAUUCAUACUUAUUGGUAUAUGAGACAUGUGGAAAUUUAGAGAUGAAAUGGAAGUAAUGAGUGGAUAUUGGCUCACAUGUUUGUGGAAUUGUAACAUUGUGAUUAGUUGUGGAAAUACAUCGUGUGGAUUGGUUGUAGAAAUACAUCAUAUGGAUUGGUUGUGAAAAUACUCAUUUUGAAUGGUUCUGAACAUUGAAUCGCAAUUCUCUUAUCAUCAUACACAUUAUUUCACUUAUUUAUUUUAUUGCUUUACAUGUAAUAGUUGUCAUGUAUGUGUACUUGAUUUGUGUCUUUUGUUAUGUAUGUGCUUUGGAAAUACUGAAAAUACUGGAAUACUAGAUAUUGGUAUCGGAUAUUGGAUUUAUGAACCAUCUUCGAAGGAUCAUAUAGGAGAAGAGUUGUGGAUAUUGGUAAUCUUGAGGCUAUGUGCCAAACUUGUGGCAGUAUGCCAAACUCGAGACUAUGUGACAAACUCAAGGUUGUGUUCUAAUCCCAUGCAUCAUCAGAUAUAUUGCACCCACUUUAUUGUGUUUAUGUUGUGUUUGAAUUCCCAUACUGGUUUGUCAUCUACCUAUUUGUUCUAUAUCUUGACUUGUUAAUAUCAAAUUGUUCUACCUUCCUUUAACUAUACUUGAUGAUCUUGAUGAUACAUGUCCCUCUUUUGUCCUACUUAUCUGUGAUAUUGUGUAUAUUUGUAUUCCUAUUAGGUGUGCAGUGUAUUAUAUGCGGAUAUUGUAGAACUUUUAGUGCAAGCGGUGUGGGCUACCAUUGUGGGAUAUUUUCUUAUUAGAGGUAAUGUGCCCUUAGUGUAUAUUUUAUAUAAUUUAUUUACUACUUUGCUUUGUCGGCCUAUAAUACCUACUGAGUAUAAUUGGACCGUACUCACGCCUAUUGCACCCUUUGGGUAAAGGUCCUAGCUCGAGAGUGCCUCAGUUUGCUUGAGUCGAGCAAUUGUUGGAGCUUCCAAGGUAGCGAUGGGGCAUUCAUGCGUUCAGAGUUCACGUCUAUCUUUUUAUAGUAGUUAUAUCUUUAUUAGUAUUUGAGAUAGAUAUUAUUUUGUUAUGGUUAUUUUUCUAAUGUAUUUGACUCCCGAAUUAUAUUAGUAGUUCUUACACUAUUCACAGCUGGUUUGGACAUGAUUGGUAUUUUGGAUAAGUUCAUUCCACAUUGUUAUGAUUACUUAUAUGAUUCGACUUUGUUCUAGAAGCCUUACCUUAGGGUAUUUCUAUCUUUUCCUUUUUUGUAUCAGUUUGGGUGAUAGGAUUACUUAUCAAAGGAUGCUGCGACAAAUGCCAUCAUGACCCUCAUUUUUUUGGUUAUAACAAAUUGGUAUCAUUGGUCUCAACAGUUUAAGAAUAGGAUGUCUAAUAGAAUCUCACAGACGUUCAUAUCUAUCUUCGAGGGGCUAUAAGACGUCUUUAGGAAACUUUCCUCAUUUUAUUUUUUACUGUGUGACGUUCUUUCAUACCUUAUAUUCUGAGUUAUGUUUCACUCUUUCUGCAUGAAUCAUGUUGCAUAUACGGCCUAUCAGUUGAAAGAUGUUUCUAGAGGUUGGAGGAGGUGGCUUGUGAGUUGUAGGCCUUGUAAUUCUUCUGAGAUGACUUAGGAUCAAUUCGUCAAGGCUUUUCUAGAGAGAUUUGUGCCUUUCAAUUUGAAGGAUCGUAUACUGAAUGAGUUUGAUCAUUUGAAGCAUGGCUCUAUGACAGUUGUUAAGUAUGAGGCACGCUUUCAUGCCCUAUCUAAAUAUUCCUAUGAUAGCAUUUCUAUCGAGACUGAGAAGAUUCAAAAGUUUUGAAGGCUUUGGAUGUCUUCCUUCAGUUGGCUACGUCUCAGAUGGUUGUGUUUGUGGCCUUUUUAGAGUAUUGUGGAUCAUGUUAAUAUGACAGAGGGUAUUCUUAGUACAUCUCAGGGAGGCGCCAAGAAGGCGCGAUGUUUUGGUGAGUUCAAGAGUUAAACCUCUCUAGGCUGAAAUUUUAGAGGUUCUCAUGGAUACUAUGGUAGGCCAUUGCAGGCAGCUUCAUAGAGCUCAUGUAGUAGACCUUCUAGUUCAUCAGUUUAGGGUGACCGUUCGGGCCUAGUUGUACCUUCUCUUGUUGAUACUGGUCAUAGAGGUUUCUAUAUAUGUGAUGAGAUUGUCCAUGUGGCUAAGAACUAUCUCCGCCAGGUGGUUUGGGCUAUGCCUAUUCCAGUUGUGAGGGGUAGGGGUGCUACUACAGAUGCAAGGGGCAAAGGUAGCGAAGAUCGAGGGGGUGGUUGUGGGGCCACUCAAGCAGUUGGUGGUCAUGGGACUACCCAGGCAGUUAGUAAUAUAUUAUACUAGCCAGACUGGAGGUAGAGGCUCCAAAUAUUAUAAUUACAAGUAUAGUCCCUAUUUUUUUCAGGCCUGCAUCUAUAUUAUUUGAUCUCAAAAUGACUUUCUCUUAUGUGUCUGUGUAUUUUUCCUCGGGUUCUGAUUCUGUUAGUGCGCCUCUUACUAUGCCUAUUCGUGUAUCUACCCAGUAGGUUAUUCUUUAGUGGUGGAUAGAGUGUACCUAUCUUGUGUUGUUUUGCCUCCUUCCUUGGAUUUUGUCUGUGUCAUCCGUGAGUGUAUGGAUGUGUUCCCUACGAACUUAUUCGGUAUGCCUUCGGAUUGAGAUAUUGAUUUUGCUAUUGAUGCUGAGCCAGGAACCAAGCCCAUCUCUAAUCCUCCUUAGAGGAUGUCCUCAAUAGAGUUAAAGUAACUGAAGGGUUAGUUAAAGGAGUUGUUGGACAAAGGAUUUAACUGACCUAGUGUAUCGCAUUAGGGCGCGUAUGUCUUAUUUGUGAAGCAAAAGGAUGGGUCUAUGCGGAUGUAUAUUGAUUAUUGGCAGUUGAAUAAGGUGGUGACGGUUAAGAAUAAGUAUCCUCUUUCUCACAUCGAUGAUUUAUUUUAUCAGCUUCAGGGCAUUGUAGUAUUUUUAAAGAUUGAUUUGCGAUUCAGUUAUCACCAAUUGAGGAUUAGAGCUUUGGAUAUUCUAAAGAUAAAUUUUCGGGCUCGAUAUAGUCAUUAUGAAUUCUUGGUCAUGUCCUUCUCGUUGACCAAUACCCCUGCUACGUUCAUGGAGUUGAUGAAUCGGGUGCCUCAAUCGUAUCUUGACUCCUUUAUUAUUAUAUUUAUAGAUGAUAUCUUGGUUUAUUCCAAGAGUGAGGUUGAGCAUGAGGAGCAUUUGUAGAUCACUCUUUAGAGAUUGAGGGAUGAAAAGUUGUAUGCAAAGUUCUCUAAGUGCAAGUUUUGGUUGUAGUCUGUUUCUUUCUUGGGUCAUGUGGUGACUAAGGAAGGUAUUAUGGUUGAUCCAGCCAAGUUUAUAGCGGUUCAUGAUUGGGCUAAACCUACUUCACCUAGCGAGAUUCAAAGUUUUAUUGGCUUGGCAGGUUAUUAUCGGCGUUUUGUUAAGGGUUUUUCAUCUAUUGUAGCUUCAUUGACCAAUUUGACCAAAAAGAAGAUUUAUUUUCAGUGGUUCGAUGCUUGUGAGGCAACCUUUCAUAAGCUUAAGAAUUUGUUAAUUCAAAGUCUAUAUUGGCUUUGCCCAAGGAGGGCAAGGGCUUUACCAUCUUUUGUGAUACUUCAGGCGUUGGGUUAGGUAUUAUGUUGAUGCAAGAGGGUAAGAUGAUUGCUUAUGUAUCUCGUCAGUUGAAACCUCAAUAGAAGAAUUAUCCUACCCAUGAUUUGGAGUUGUGCGCGGUUGUGUUUGCUUUGAAGUUGUGGAGGCACUAUUUGUAUGGAGUCCAUUGUGAGAUCUUCUCAGAUCAUAGUAGCCUUCAGUAUUUAUUUACCCAGUGAGAUCUUAAUAUGAGGCAGCGUCGUUAGCUUGAUUUGUUUGAGGAUUAUGACUUGACCAUUCUCUAUCAUUCGGCAAGGCAUAUGUGGUUGUUGAUGCCUUAAGCCAAAAGUCGACUAGCAUGGGUAGCUUGGCUCAUCUUUUGAGCCAAGAGAGGCCUUUAGCCUUAAAGGUUCAUUCUUUAGCUAACCAUAUGGUUAGGUUUGAUAUUUUAACACCUAUGCAUAUUUUGACAUUUGUGAAGGCUAAAUCUUCUUUGAUAGAGCAGAUUCGAGUUCAUCAGUUUGAUGAUAUUGGAUUGAGGUUGAUUCGAGAUAAGGUGUUAAGUGGGGAAGCUUAGGAAGCCUCACUUAAUUCAUAUGGAGUUUUAAGGAUUGGGGGCUAAGUUUGUGUGUCGAGAGUAGGUGAUUAGAUUAGGUUGAUCUUGGAGGAGGCCCAUUGUUUCAGAUAUUUUAUCCAUCCAGGUGUAACUAAGAUGUAUCGUGAUUUGAGGCAGUAUUACUGGUAGGGUGGUAUGAGGUGAGAUAUAGUAGAUUUUGUGGCUCGUUGCCUAUGUUUCCAGCAGGUGAAGGCGGUCAUAUGAGGCCUGGUGGGUUGCUUCAGAGGUUAUCCAUUCCCGAGUAGAAGUGGGAACAGAGCACCAUGGACUUUGUGACUGUUUUGCCUCAUAUAUCUCAUAGUUUUUACAGUUUUUGGGUAUUCGUGGAUCGAUCGACCAAGUCAACGCAUUUUAUUUUAGUUCAGAUCUUAUUCAGUUCUGAAAGGUUGGCCCAAGGUUCAAGUCUCAUUCAGUAGUUAGAGGUUGGCCUUUAUCUAUAUUAGUGAGAUUGUGCAUUUGCAUUGUGUAUCAUUGUCCAUUUUUUUAGAUAGAGGUUCUGUGUUCACAUCUCACUUUUGAAAGACUUUUCAGGAUGAGUUGGGUACUUAGGUUGAUCUUAGCAUGGAGUUCACCCCCAGACUGACGAUUAGCCAGAGCGGACUAUUCAGAUUUUAGAGGAUAUGCCCCGAGCAUGUGUGAUGGAUUUUGGUGGCCAGUGCAAGCAGCAUUUGGCUUUAGCUGAGUUUGCAUAUAAUAAUAGCUACCAUUCUAGUAUUGAUAAGUUCCGUUUGAGGCAUUGUAUGGUAGGCUUUGUCGCUCGCCACCUGGUUAGAUAAGUUCCGUUUGAGGCAUUGUAUUCUAGCCAUGUCGGAUAUUUUGUGACCUCCACAAUCUUAGACUGGAUUUAUUUUUUCACUUCUUCCUUGAUCUUUAGACUUAAAUCUGACUUAAAUUUACGCAUUUUUUGCUUGACUGGAUCAAACUCAAGAUUUAUCAGUAACUUAUGUGACACAAUGCUAGUGCUCAAUCCCAGCAUAUCAUCACAGGACCAAGCAAACACAUCAAUGUAUUCCCGCAACAGGUGAAUGAGCUCUCUCUUUUGUGCUUCCGCCAAGUGGACACUAACACUUGUUUCUUUGAUUUCAUCAUGAUCUCUCAGGUUAACUGUUUCAGUUUCCUCUAGGUUGGGCUUCUCCCAGUUCUUAAACUCUUCUAUACCGUCAACAAUUAUUUCUCAUCACUUUUCUUCCAAUCAUCAUCAUUCCCCUCAUUUUGUUCGUCUAAGUUUUGACAUGACAUGACAUUGGCAGGUUUUGAUUUAUUGUUACUGUAAUAAAAAAACAAACCAAGUUAGAUGAUAAUAAGAUAAUAAAAUAUACGAAUAAUGGUGUUUUGAAAAAUAUUUUUAAAAAAAAUAAAGGAAGGCCUUUUCAUUGAAAUUUGAGAGAUAAUUACAAACUAUGACUCAUGACUCACGCAAACACAAGCCCAUGCCUUUUGAAAGCUGUAAAAAUAUGAAAGGAAAAUUUGAGAUGUAAAGGAUGGAUCGCGGGGUCUCCACCGGAUCAUCGACAAUUUUAAAAAAUAUUAGUAAUUACCCUUUCAUCUACCACAAUGGGUGACGGGUUAUGAAUGGAGUGGAGGUCCAGUUUUACAAGGCCUCCCCUGGUGCAAUCUUCUUCACCCCACUGGAAUUUGGGAAAUCUUCUGGUACAUUAUUAUAUUCCUCAAACAGAUUUCCUAUCACAUCCCUAAGACCAUCAUCAUUCGACAUCUCACGUAAGGAAAUGACUGGUACAGAAGCGGUAAGGGCCUAAACAGACUCGCCUCUGACUUAUUCUCAAUCUCAUCCUUCUUGGUAGGCCGAUAUCCUAACCCAUACUUAAAGGCUUUCUAUAGGAUCAUAACGGGCUCAAUAAUUCCUUGCAUAUUCUUACCCAAACCUCGACCAACAUCACAGUCGCAAUCAUUUUGUAGACAAAAGGCAUUGGAGCUUUGAGCAUCAGAUCCUUUUCUACAGCAUUUACAAUUUCCACUGUAUAGAAGCUACUACCCUUUGGAACAUCUUUAAUCACCGUCACAUAACCAUUAGGAUGAUUCACUUGGCUUCCUUCCCCUUCGAUGACUAUUUCAUGAUCCUUCCAAAUGAAUUUCAAUAACGGAUGAGGAGAUGAUGAAACUGCCUUUGCACCAUGUAUCCAUGUUCUUCCCAAGAGCAGGUUGUAACUAGGAUAAAUGUCCAUAACAUGAAACUUAGUCUUGAAUUUAGCAAGUCCCAUUUUGGAUGUGUAAAUCAUUUUCACCUAUGGUAUCUCUCUGCCUUCCAUCAAAUGCUCUCACAUUUACGUGGCUUUGCCAAAUUUUCCCUAAAUCAUAGCCUAUUUGAACCAACGUGGAGAGAGUACAAAUAUUUAUACUAGAUUCGUUAUCUAUCAAUACCUGAUUAAUCACAUAGUCUCGACAAAUGACAGUGACGUGCAAGGCCUUGUUAUGCAUCGCUCCUUCAAAUGGAAACUCUUCAUCGUUGAAUGCUAUGCGAUGACUUCCCACAAUAUUUCCUAUCAUUGCAGCCAGGUUCUCAACACCCAGCCCUGUGGGAACAUACGCUUCACCUAAGACCUUCGAUAAAGCCUGUCGGUGGUAUUGUCAACUCAUUAUUAGUGUCAAAAUGGAAAUUUGAGCUGGAAUCUUCUCUAAAUGUUUGACAAUUGAAUAUUCCUUUGGUUGCAUACAUUUCUAAAAUUUCUCAGACUCCCCUUCAGUGAUUGGUCUUUUCUGUGAAUCCUUUUUGUUGGUCAAUUCUUCAGGAAUGUAGCAUCGUCCCAAUCACGUCAUCCCUUGGACAGCAGCGGUCUGUACAGUAAAUUCUUUCCUUGGUGGGAGAGUGUACACUUGAUUUGGGGCCAUCAUCACUAUAAAUGAGGCUCUUUCGUUGACACUUAAGGCAGCCACAGUUCUUUCUAUCUUUUCUAUCUCUUCUGCCUUUUUAUGCUUUUCUGAAUUCACCUUAGUAAUAGUCUUGUCAGAUGUCCAUUCUCCUUCUAUUUCAAUCAUGUUAACUAUAGGUCCCCCAUGAUUAGGCAAUGGGAUACUGUUAACAUUUAGCGUCGGUGACUGAAGCAUGAUGACCUUUUGAUCAAUCAGAUCUUGGAUCUUAUGUUUCAAGCUAAUAUAGUCCUCAGUACUGUGCCCUACUGCACCUGAAUGAUAGGCACAAUUUUGAUCAGGAUGAUAAAAUCGAGAGUUGGGAUUGACAUGCUUUGGCUGGAUUGGUUUCAAAUGACCGACAUUCUUUAAUCUUUUAAAUAGUUGGGCGUGAAUUUCAGCCAGCGGCGUGAAAUUUUGGGGAGGUUUCUUUUUGAUGUUUGGAUGUGGAGGGUUAUAAUGGUUCUGAUUUGUAGGAGGAGGCACUUGAUGAUAAUUUGGAGGUGCUUGGAUGCUUGUUCGGUUGUUUGGAAGAGUGGAUUGGACAUUAGACUGAUAAUUCAGUGGUGGAACUUGGUAUUGGGGAAAAAUAUUUGGCUGUGGAGCUUGGUACUGGGAUUGGAUAUUUAGGAUUGGAGUUUGGUACUGAGGUUAGACAUUUGGAAGUGGAGCUUGUAUUGGGGUUGGGUAUAGAAUACAUGCUGAAAGUUUGGUGACGGCGGAGAAGAGAAAAUAUUCCCAGAGUUGAACCUCUUUUUUGUUUUUGCAAUAGAAUCAGCAGAGACCGUGCCUAUAUCCUCUUUUUUUUUCUUCGAGAAUAUAGCAGUCCCAGAUGAUGUUGGGGUCUUGACAAUUUUUCCUGUCCAAAUACCUUCUUCUAGCGAUUCUCCUAUUUUUACAAAAUCUGCAAAAGUCGCUCUGACAGCGAACACCAUCCUGGUAUAAUUUCUCCUUCUUGAGCGCGAGAGAACAUAGAUACUAUUUCUUCCUCAGACAUGGGGGGUUUCACUUUGGCAGUUUCUUUCCUCCAACGGAAAGCAUAGUCUUGGAAACACUCAUCAUUUUUAUGUUUGAUCCAAUCUAGUGAAUAUCAGUCAGGGACUAUUUCAAUGUUAAACGCGAACCAUUUAAGGAAACCCUUGGCCAAUGCUUUCCAACCAGUCCAUCUUUUUAGCUCCUGAGACAUGAACCACUCUAAGGCUUCACCACUUAAACUUCGUCUGAACAGGCGCAUCAAUAACGCCUCACUUUUCCCUACCCCCUCCAUUUGAUCACAAUACCUUCUCAAAUGGGCCAUUGGGUUUCCAGUACCGUCAAACACUUCAUACUUAGGGACCUUGUACCCUUCUGGUAGAUCUAUUCUAGGGUGAACACAUAAAUUAUCAUACCCUAAACCAUCAUGGUCCCUCGCUCCAUGAGAUUUUUUGAUUCUCAUGAUCUCUUCAUUCAUAGCUAGCAACUUUAUUUCAUGCUCGAUCCUCCACUCUUUCUCUUUCUCUUUCUCCUCAUAAUGGUCCAUCUCGAGAUUAGGAAGGGGAUUAUAGAUAUCAGAGGAUAUAAUGGCAUGAGGAGAAUUUGGAAGGGAGGUUUGAUUUCGCGGAUGAAAGAAAGUUGGUUGGUAGGUGGGGAGGACAUUUUGGAAAUUGGAAAGGUUCUGUUGAAUUUGAGAGUAGUUUGGUGGAAUCUGAGAAGGAUUUUACGUAUUUGGAAAAGAAUUUGGUGGAUUCGAGGAUAGAUUUGAUGGAAGAUUUGGUGAUGGAUUUUGUGGAUUUGGGAGUGAAUUUUGUGGAUUUGGGAGUGAAUUUUGUUGAUUUGAAAAUGGGUUCUGGGAAUUUGGAAAUAGAUUCGAAGAUGGGUUUUGCGAGGUUAGAGAUGGAUUUUGUGGAUGGUGAACAUCUGGGUUAUUUUUGUGAUUGGUGUUUUGGACAAUUUGAGGAGCGGAGAUGGAUGAUAUGUUGUUUAGAUGAUUCGCGAGAAUAGGCGUACUAAGGAGAGAAAUUUGGAGUGGAGUCCCAUGUCCUUCUGGAGUGGGAGCAUUGACAGUGAUGGCCAGGUUAGCCAAAUCUCGAGUGCGAUUUAUUUCCUCUUAAAGCAUUUCUAACUUUUUUGCGAGUUCCGCAAUCAUCUCACUUUGUUCCGCUAUUACAUUGUCCCUGGUGGUCAAUGCGUUUUCUUCGUCAUUUCCAGUCAUUAUUGAAUGAUGGUCAGAAGAUGGGAUUUUAUGCGCUUUUGACCGAGUGAAGUAGGGAUGUUCUGCCAGCUUAUUUCAACACAGAGUAGUUUUCUAUUGUCUGUAAAGUAAAACAACUCAAAGGCAAAUGUGUUAGUUUUCACAUGUGAUAAGUAAUGUAAAAUACUUGACAAGAAAUAGCCAUGUAGAGUUGUUUGUGUCAUAGACAAAUUCAUCCGUAGGAGCAUAGCGGAUAAACUUUCCUUUGAUCCAAACAAACUCACAUAAACACAUAAGACAGUUAUAAUAAUGUGUAUCCUAAUUGGGGUGACCCUUUUGAGCCAAGGGUUUGGGCCUAACGAUUUUUGAAGAAAAAUAUAUGCUUGCUUAAGGUCAAUACAUUAUCCCUCAACUUUUAUAGACGCUAAAAAGGGCAUAAAUACCUACAAUAUAUAACAAAACAGGGAUACAAUAUUUAGGGAAAAGGAAAUAACAUGAAAUAAAGUAAGUUCCCACGCAGGAGAAUAAAAAAAAACUAGCUACUGGACGUUCCUUCGUUUGCCUUUGCCUUCUUAUCUUUGUUCACCUCCUGCGAUAUUUGAUACCUAUUGAUGAUCAGAUGACUUCCGCAUAACUGUACCUUGCUUUUGUAAGUCAUUUUUCCUAUACUAUCGAGUUGGGAGGCCAUGCUAUCAUCCAAAUAGAUUAAACACUGCCUAGCAUCAUCAGCCUCUUGCCUAGCUCUUUUCAACUCUUCCCUCAACAUACGUAUUAUUAAAGCAUCAUCUACAUGCAUCUGUCGGUGCACGAUUUCACUUUUCUAAAACUCAUCUUGAAGCCUGUGGAGUUGGAUUUGAUGCUCGGAUUCUACAUCCACGACUCGAGUGGGCACGUUUGGCCCCGGAAUCAAUGCUCCAGCGAGGCUCUUUUUUAACCACUCCUUGUAAGUGUCGUUGACUUCAGGUUCAUACCCUAUACAGAAAGAGACUUCUAUCCAACUUCUUCUUCUCCAUCCGUUUAUCAUGUAGUCUUUGAGCGGGGGCUCGCUUUCAUCAUACUCGGUGAAGAAUCUGAGCAUAGAAUCGAUUUGAGGUGUCUCCUGCUUGAUCUCGAAUUGCCUAAGAACUCUACCAGGAUUGUAGGGAAGGGUUCCCCUGAGACUCAUAAGCACUAAAAAAGGCCACUUGCCCCCUCGAAUAGUGUAUUUCCCUGAAUGAAGAUAGUUAAUGGACCAUUGCACAUCGACAUCUCUUAAUUCCCCAAGAGUCUUAAACCAAAAUUCAUGAGAUGCUUCCCUUUUGAACUUGUGUAGAAACAACCAUAUGUCAUGCGGUUCUAGCAGAUUCCUUCUUGUUUUGUGAUCAGGUUGUACCGUUCUAGGAUUUUUCACCAAAUAGAACAUCAUCCACCAUUGCAAUAUAAGGUUGCAGCCUUGAAAGAAAUGAUUCUCGACUUGACAUCUUCCCAAAGCUCUAUAUAUGUCGGCGACAAUCAUGGGAGCUAAGUUGUGGAAUACCUUUUUAGAAUUGUACUCCAUUCCAAACAAGAGGCCAUGGGUCACUGAGACAACCCUUGGAUGAAUUGUGUCAUUUUCUCUUUGUGGGAACACCAUGGUUCCAAGUAGGCCUACCACAAACGCAAAGGCCCUCGUCUCCUUCCAUUUUGCUUCUGACUUAAAUUUAUGUCCAAAUUUGUGAAAAGCAUUGAAUCUUCCGAACCGAUGAUACAACUCACGAAAAGUGAUAUUUUCUCCAUCACGUUACCCUAGCCAGGUGUCGUCGUCAAUUUAAAAUACCUCCUUUAUCUUUUGACGAUCCCAUACAACUGGUACUAAAAUGUUCUUAUCAGGUGUCUCCUUUCUCUUGAAACACAUUUCAGUACUCUCAUAACAAAUCAAUACCUCUUCAAUGGUAGGAGUCAAUUCAACAUCCCCGAAGCAAAAUACCAUAUUCUGAUCAUCCCAAAAAGUUGUUAGUAUAUGGAUUAUUUUGGGCUAAGCGUCCAUCUCGAACAAAAAAAAAAGAUGCCCAAUGUGUGUUCUAACAAUCUUUCUCUCUUCUGCGCUCAUGUAAUCCCACCAUAGUUUCAAGAAAUCAUCAAGUUUAGUAACCAUCUUGAGCUUUUCGGGGGAAUGCAGUUGAGCCAUAUCCUACACGAAAGCAGACAAAGAUAAGCCUUCCCCCGUCCCCAAAGGGUAAUGAGUUGAAUUAGACAAGAAUAUAUAUUUUUUUCAACACAUAAAUAUGAUUCAUCCGUAAUUGACUCGGGGUCAAUAAACGUAGGACAAGUUUUCUAAUGAGCCCAAUACCCUGCUCGGGUAUUGGGUCGUCCUAAGCAUGCCUAAAAUAGGGUUUUGGUUUUGUUCUAUCCGAGGUGUCUAGAGUGGGUUUGAACACUGGUUCUCAAGCGAACAACUUGAGUUUGAAAAUACAAACAGCCAUCAAACGACUCACGUGCUAAUAAGCCAUUGGUAUUUCCAACACAUUAUUGGAAUUAAACAAUAGGGGCCGGGACAUCCACGAAACCCCAAAAUAAUUUAAAUAAUGCAGGAAUAUGCCAUGAGAUGUGAUAGUUAAACUUUACAGAAUCAAAAUAUAUAAACACAUAAACAGUGAAUCAAAAGACGAAAAUCAAAUAUUUGGUUAGAACCUAGUUUCAAAUCCCAGCAGAGUCGCCAUUUCUGUUUUAAGGAAAUUUUUGACUUUUAAAAAGAGUCACCACUUAAUUUUUGAAAAGAAAUUAAGAAACCUUUAUAAAGUACUUCAAAGGAUCCAAAACAGACAAAUCAUUUAAGUUAGAGAUUCUGAAUAAGCGAUUCCUAUUAAAAUUUUAAGAAGGUGUUAGGCACCUAAAAUGUCCGCUAACUUGUGGUUAUCUGGACUGUUUGAAAGCAUCUUUUGAUUAACUUUGAAAAGAUUGAUUUGUUGAAAAUGAUCGAUUUUUUAGAAAAGACUUGUGUAAAAUAGAUUUAGGAGAUUUAGUAGGGAUUUUAACUAAAUCUAAACAAAACGAAUAAGCAAAUAAACACAUAAAAGGGGAAACGGAUGAGAAAGUAAAGAGUUUAGACCAUUGGGCCCAAAUCGAUAAAACUUAUCCUAAUCUAGUUAGGCUUUCAUCCCAUAACCUGUCCUAAACUAUUCUUUCAGGCCCGUUGGCCCAAAAUCCGCUCCACCUGUAUUAAAUUUACAACUUUGGCUUUGAGAUCCAAAUGAAUUCUCAAAUGAAUGAAUAAGCAAAAUAAACAAAUGAAUAAAUAAAUAAUGACAACAAUAAAAAUGAACAAAUAAAUGAAAAAAUGAGACUUUCAAGUCCCUUGGCCGCUUUAAAGAUGGACUUCUACUGAUUCUUCUCCUUUCAUCUCCUUACAUCCGUACACCUCAUAAUCGGCUUUUGUACUUGGUCUCGGAGUUGAUUCGAUAGAGGGAGUGGGCAUCAAUAACCCAUGAUGAAUAUGCAAAAGAGAGAGAGUCCAUGUGGGACUCAAAAACGGAUUCACAUGCAAGGAACGAAAUAAGGAGAUUAAUAUGCAUCCAAAGUGUAGAACGCGAUAUAGAUAAAUAACAUAACAAAUCCAUAGAUAAAAAGAGAACUAUUGUAAUCCAAAAUAAUAUAGAAAACAGUAGGUCAAGAUAUAGAAAAGUCAAGGAAAAAGGGCAUGCUCAAUAGGGUAAAGUCAUGCAACUAUGGUUGUCAUCAGUACAUAAAUAAACAUAUAAACUAAAAAAAAAGUUCUAAGACUAAAUUGGCGAGGAUUUUCGUAAGCAAGAACAAGUAAACAAUGAGACUUACACUAGAGUUGGGAGUUAAAAUAAACCUCAUAAGCGACUCAUUCAUAACGUCAAGUAAGAAAAGAACCCCUCUUUUUGAGGAAAUAAAACAGAGUUCCUCACUGUACCAUUUCUUUAAAAGGACAGAACUUAUUAACAUAUCUUACCUAAAUUUAGCAGCUUGGAAAAACAAACGCUAACAUACAAUGUCAACUUAAGCAAGAAUUAAUGAAACUUGACCCAAGAACUGUUCAGACAACUAAAGAAACGUAACUUUUCAAGUGGAUAAGUUUGUAAGUUGAUAGUAUAUUUAUACUACAGUGAGCGAAGAAGCAACAAAUCUCUGAAUAGUCAAAAGACUCUUAGUAACUAUGGCUUCAAGAACAAUUCCACCACCAUUUUUCCAAUGAAAAAAACAAAAUAGACAAUAUAAUACCAUAAAGCGUAGACAGACAUGAUGAAAGGAAAAUAAAAAAGGGAGAGAACGUUUGAAAUGAAUCAAGCAAAACCUGCCUACCUAGAGUUUUGGUAGAGAAACUAUGAAGAUGAAAAUUAGGUAUGAUGAGACCCCGUUUCGUCUUCCAAAUUUCUUUUCAAGAGAAAUCUAAAGAAUUUCCUCCCACAAAAGCCUUGUCUCUACACAAUUGCUAAGAGCAUUUCCUGGAAACGGCCUUACAAAACUCUAAAGAGUUUUAGCCCUUGAAAAUUAUAACUAGAGUGAAAACCACAAACCCAGCUCAAAGAGAAUGCACACCAUGUAAUGAUUUUCAACAUCAAAGAUACCUCAUCCAUUGUCUUUUACAAUAAAGCCAUUACAUUUCCUCGGGGAUCAAUCAAACAGAACACCGUUUUGAAACAAAAUCAAAAAGAAAAUAAAAGACUCAAACUUUGUAAUUCUACAACAAAGGGAACCCGACCAGGAUGUUUCUUUUUUAAAAGAAAGGAGCUGGCAGGGCGUAUUAUUUUAUCCUUCUCCUCUUUUCGAUAAACUCAAAAAAUGAGUUUUUAACAGUCAAAAUGGUCAUCAGAGAAUUAUAAGAUUUCUGGUACGCUUUUGGACAUAUCUCAUUAUUCCCUUUUGCAUUGAAAAAGAAAGAAGAACUCUCGAGGCAGUCCAGAUGGUGGUGUUACCGGUUUAAAUAGAAAACAAUGAUCUAAGACUGUCAAACAGUAAUGAUGAACGGGUCAACAUAUCAUUAUGGUCUUCCUCCUCAUUCAAACGAAAUGGCAGUCGAGGGAUCCUAAGAUUUUGUAGUACAUUUCAUUAUUGGAAACAUUUUGGUCAUUCUCUUUGGCAUAUGAGAAGCUGAAGGAACUCACAAAGUAGUCCUAUUAGUGAUGUUACUAGCUAAACAGAAAAUGACUCAAACAAAAUGACAUUCAGCUAUCCAGUUAAGUGAAAAUUUAAACGGGCAUCUCAAUGGAAAUCAAUGAAUAAAAUUCAUAAAUAAUAUACGAUACAAAAAUAGUAAAUUGGAAGGUAAUCUACGAUGUUGAGAUCAAAUAGCAGAUUAUGAAAUCAAGACAAUCAAAAGAGAUUGAAACUAGAAACUUUAACAACUAAACCAGGAGUUAACAACAAACGUAAUCACAUGACAGACACCAUGUUCAUCCAACGUAUCCUAUGGUCUUACAAAACCUCUACAUCAGCUAAUCCCAGCACACAAUACUCGUAAUAAAACAUUAAUAUGGCUACAGAAGUGGAGAUGAAGUAGAAAAUAUUUAAAAGAUAAAUAGAAUGGAGCGCCACCUAUUUCGUGGCAGCAAAAUGGAACAACGAACUAACGUUGGAAUCAGCCACCACUAGGAAUUAGUGUUAUCAACUGGGGGAGCCUCCGAUUACCAACCCUAGUUUUUCAAUCCUAAUUUUCUCCCCAAUUUUGAGACUGUUUCUCUAGUUUUUGUUUUCUCUUCUAAGAAAAAAAAAUUUCAACCCUUUUUCUCCCAGAAGGGGAUGUUUAUAUAGAGGAGAAAUUGGGGGUCUCUUCUCCGUCUAGAACAAUGUGGGAAAAAUCCAAUAAAGGGUAAUUUGGGGACACCACACAAAAGGAGAAAUUGAAUUCCAAAUUUUGGAUAGGAAUUCUAUCUUACCAUUUAUACCAUCUGGGUGAAAUUCGCAAUAUGGGCAGCCAAUCCAGAUUGGGGAAGGGGGAAUCAUCUUCAAGAGCCAAUGAGAAAUCUCUACCAAGGUAUGAAUUCAUACCACGGCACCCAAGAUUUGCGGGAUUUGAACAUUGGGUAGGACACCUCAUCGAUCUUCUUAAAGAUUCGAGGUUGGCGAUCCAUUAGUUCGGGUUGGAUUUGGGAAUUGUUCGAAUUUAGGAUUGAGAAUGGUUUGGUUUUACUGGAUUGAGUUGUUGGAGAUGGGUUGGGUCCUGAAGUUGAUGAAGUUGGUCUUGUACGCUAUUGAUAUAGCUUAUGGAAGAGAGAAGAGGGAUGUUUUAGUCGGGUAAGACAGAUUUUAGGUGUUGGGUCGGCUUUUGGAAAAGAAAGGAAGAGGCCCAGGAGAUUUAUAUUUGGGCUGCUGAAAAUAGAGGGGUUGGCUUGGCUAUUUAAAUUUUGGGUCUUUAUUUGAGGUUAUUUAAUAACCCCUAUUAAAUCUAAUUCGGUUAUUAAAUAACCCUAAUUAAGAU